rnacentral:rRNA from 1 species
AGUACACCGGAAGGUGUGCUUGGCAA